rnacentral:rRNA from 1 species
UACGUAGGGCGCAAGCGUUGUCCGGAAUUAUUGGGCGUAAAGAGCUCGUAGGCGGUUUGUCGCGUCUGCUGUGAAAACCUAAGGCUCAACCUUGGGCUUGCAGUGGGUACGGGCAGACUAGAGUGCGGUAGGGGUGACUGGAAUUCCUGGUGUAGCGGUGAAAUGCGCAGAUAUCAGGAGGAACACCGGUGGCGAAGGCGGGUCUCUGGGCCGUAACUGACGCUGAGGAGCGAAAGCGUGGGGAGCAAACAGG